ACGCUGGCGGCAUGCUUUACACAUGCAAGUCGGACGGCAGCACAGAGAAGCUUGCUUCUUGGGUGGCGAGUGGCGAACGGGUGAGUAAUAUAUCGGAACGUACCGAGUAAUGGGGGAUAACUAAUCGAAAGAUUAGCUAAUACCGCAUAUUCUCUGAGGAGGAAAGCAGGGGACCUUCGGGCCUUGCGUUAUUCGAGCGGCCGAUAUCUGAUUAGCUAGUUGGUGGGGUAAAGGCCUACCAAGGCGACGAUCAGUAGCGGGUCUGAGAGGAUGAUCCGCCACACUGGGACUGAGACACGGCCCAGACUCCUACGGGAGGCAGCAGUGGGGAAUUUUGGACAAUGGGCGCAAGCCUGAUCCAGCCAUGCCGCGUGUCUGAAGAAGGCCUUCGGGUUGUAAAGGACUUUUGUCAGGGAAGAAAAGGCUGUUGCUAAUAUCGACAGCUGAUGACGGUACCUGAAGAAUAAGCACCGGCUAACUACGUGCCAGCAGCCGCGGUAAUACGUAGGGUGCGAGCGUUAAUCGGAAUUACUGGGCGUAAAGCGAGCGCAGACGGUUACUUAAGCAGGAUGUGAAAUCCCCGGGCUCAACCUGGGAACUGCGUUCUGAACUGGGUGACUAGAGUGUGUCAGAGGGAGGUAGAAUUCCACGUGUAGCAGUGAAAUGCGUAGAGAUGUGGAGGAAUACCGAUGGCGAAGGCAGCCUCCUGGGAUAACACUGACGUUCAUGCUCGAAAGCGUGGGUAGCAAACAGGAUUAGAUACCCUGGUAGUCCACGCCCUAAACGAUGUCAAUUAGCUGUUGGGCAACUUGAUUGCUUAGUAGCGUAGCUAACGCGUGAAAUUGACCGCCUGGGGAGUACGGUCGCAAGAUUAAAACUCAAAGGAAUUGACGGGGACCCGCACAAGCG
rnacentral:rRNA from 1 species